UUACUAGAGUAGCACUCGCAUAUCAAUAAGCGGAGGAAAAGAAACUAACAAGGAUUCCCCUAGUAACGGCGAGUGAAGCGGGAAGAGCUCAAAUUUGAAAUCUUAAAGGGUUUCCCUUUACGAAUUGUAGUUUAAAGAAGUGUUUUCUGUUGAGGUUUUGGUAAAAGUUCUUUGGAAUAGGACAUCAUAGAGGGUGAGAAUCCCGUAUUUGACCUUUACUUUCAACUUUGUGAUACACUUUCAAAGAGUCGGAUUGUUUGGGAAUGCAGUCCAAAAUGGGUGGUAAAUUUCAUCUAAAGCUAAAUAUUGGCGAGAGACCGAUAGCGAACAAGUACCGUGAGGGAAAGAUGAAAAGAACUUUGAAAAGAGAGUUAAACAGUACGUGAAAUUGUCAAAAGGGAAGCGUUUGACACCAGUGUUGUUUUUCUGAAAAUCAAUUAAAGAACUGUUUAUGCUAAGCUGUUUAGACUUUAUCAGCUAUACUGUUUAGUUUUGAGCUUUUCUUUAAUGCACUUUUCAGUUAACAAGUCAACAUCAAUUUCUUUUGCUGUAAAAAAGCUUGAGGAAGGUGGCUUGAGAUUCGUCUUAAGUGUUUAUAGCCUCUUGCCUAUGCAGUCGGAGAGAUUGAGGUCUGCAGCGUAGAUCCUUCGGGGCUAAAUGCAUUUGUGCUAAGUUAUAGCAUUUUAUAGACAACUUGUUGACUAUGAUUUGUCUUGUAGCUUACUCGCUUAUGUUAUUUUACCUACGCUUAGGAUGUUGAGUCAUCACACAUCUCU
rnacentral:rRNA from 1 species